UGUUCGCUCAAAUGAAGAAAAAAAAACUUGAGAACAACCUGCUGCAUUUUCUUCCACUUACAAAGAUGAAGAAAAAAUUUAAGACACCUAAAGUUAACUAAAUCAAAACCCAGGAGACGCAGCAUUCGUUCACACUCCUCACACUCACAUGAAACCUUGCUGCCGCACAAUCCUUGCCAUCGACCGUUCACACUCCUCAACAGUCGACACUUCCUCCGUUUAGCCGGCAUGACUACGACGCCGUCUAUUGCUUUUCCGUUCAGCAUUCGGCGACUACCAAUGUCUGCAUCUUGUAUUGUAUUUGUGUAUAAUUACCACUACCAAGACCCAAAUUAGAAAAUAGAGAGACAAUGAUUGGCUUCUUUUGAUGUAUGAACAUGAUUAUAAGAGCAAUUUUCUAAAACCAAAUGGAAGGUAAGAACUUUGCCUAGUUUUCAACAUAAACUUUUAUUAUUUUGUUUGA